rnacentral:tRNA from 1 species
GGCCGGUUAGCUCAGUCAGUUGAGCGUGGCGCUCACAACGCUAAGGUCACGGGUUCAAUUCCUAUUCAGUCCC